ensembl:lincRNA
GUUUUAUAUGAGAAAAUAAACUUACUGAUUACUUUUCAUUUGUUCCAUAUACCUAAUUACAUGCAGUGUUACUAGCAUCUGAAACAGCCUCUCCUUUAGAAGGCUGGAACACGGCCUGGAAUGGGCAUAACUCAUGGCAAGACUCAACAUUCUUCUUUGCAGUGGUUCUUUUUCCUUCCUCUCAAGAAGAUAAAUGGGCCCUUUUGGGAUUCUUGCCUGGCAGGAGUGGGCUGGUCUGAUGAGACUCAGGGAUUCAUGCUUAUGGAGGAAAGGACAUUGACAGAAAUGGAAAUGCCAUGGAUUUCUAGAGACAAGGUAGAUGAUAUCCUGUAUUUAUAAUAGUUGUUGGCAGACUUGCAGCUCACAUACAAAAAUGAGUGGUAGGGGCCAUGCCAACAAAUGCCAUCAAUCUGUGAGACACUGAUGCAAACACAUGCAGACGUGCAGUGAGUAGUUGUCAAUAUUGGAAACAAGUAUUUUAUUACUUCCUUCUGGUGUGUGGGACUAAUUAGAGGGUGGUGGUGUGUAUGUGAUGGCCACUAAUGCUCAUCAAAACCCAGUUGCC